AUGGCAUCCUUGGCUUUUGGUGGAAAGGAGUAACAAAUGACAUGGGAUAGCAGCAUCAUGCAAUAAAGUCCUACAUGUAAUUUGGACUUUUUUUUCCAAACGUGGAACUUACCAUUUUAAAUGAACAAUACAGCUAAAACACACACAAAAGAGGAAACAUUAAAAUGCAAUUAAACUAGUUGCAGAAUUAAACCAAUUGUAUUUUUUAACAGUGGCUGAGACCUUACAACAGGAGACGUUGCUACAAUGUGUCAUCUUAGCUAAAUCUCCCAAUGUUAUUUGCUAACAUCUACCUUUGAAGCCAUACAGCCUGCCACCAAGGAUUUCCAAGGUGUUCGAGAGCAGGACCCUGAACGAUGAUACAUCCAUUCCUCUGCCAGCAAAGAGGUUCAAUGUGACAAACAGCUUCAGCAGAAUCGGAAAGAAACGUGACACAUUCCACCACUAGAUGAUUUUGUGAUGUGUACAGCUAGUGACACUGUUAAUGCCUUGGGGGAUGCGCAGGCCCUGCCAUCGGUUAUGCACAGAUGCAAUACUUUGCUAGCAGUGUGGUGGGAAUUGUAGUCCAACAUAACUGGUGGACACUAAAGUACAUAGGGUGCCCUGGAUGGUCAAAAAACUGAUUAACCCAAAUUGGUUAUUAGUGACAAAAUUAGGUUACUUGGGCUUCUUCUACACAAUUGUAUAAAAUUCCACAUUAUCUGCUUUGAACUGGAUAAUAUGACAGUGUGGACUGAGAUAACCCAGUUAAAAGCAGAUAUUGUGGAUUUAUUAGUAAACCAGAUCAUUAUUUUGCAGCAGCCCAUUCCCUUAACAACAAGCUUAAAGCUAGAGGCUAUCCAGCUAAGAUACUGAAACAGGCUUUUCAGAAGUCACAACAGAUAGAUAGGAGUACCUUAUUGAAAUACAAACCCAAACAGCAACUAAACAGGAUUAUCUGUCCACUAACACUUACCUCACAGACCCCACAUAUCCGCAGAAUUAUCAAUAAGCAUUGGCAUCUUGUACAGGAGAUCCCAGGGUGCAAAGAUGCACCUAUUAUAGCACACAAAAGAUCUAAAAAUUUAAAAGAUAUUCUCAUCCAUUCUGAUUUCAAAAUAUCCAAUUCAGAACCCAGGAAUAUUAUCACAGAGAAUUUUAAGUGUGGACAUUGUGACGUUUGUGGUCUCACGUCCAAUAUUAAGCAAUUUCAACAUCCAUCAUUGCCCAUCAAGAUCAAUUUGAAAAACUACAUGACUUGUUCAUCAGAAAACGUAAUCUAUGUUAUUAGAUGCCCUUGUGAUUUAUUAUACAUAGGUAUGACCAGCAGAUCCCUGAAAAUCAGAAUACAAGAGCAUCGUUCAAAAAUUAAAAGAGGAAGUUUAGACUCCACCCUGUACACUCAUUUCCAACAAAAAUCUCACCCAUAUAACAGUUUUAAAUUUCUUGCUCUAGAGAAGGUUUGUGCUGCUGGCUACACAGACAUCAAAACUAGUCUCCUCAGAAGGGAAGCCUUCUGGAUUUACAAACUGAGGACCAUUACCCCUCAUGGUCUAAAUGACAAAUUGGACCUCACCUGCUUCCUGUAAUCAGGUAUUUAAAUCACUAGGGGACCAUGAAUGGCUGCUCGCACCACAAAAUCCACAGCAGCAUAUUGAUACUGCGAACAUAAUUAAGAAUACCUGAUGCAGAGCCAUCAAUAAAGAAAUAAUAAAGCUUUUGCCGCUUACCAGAAGAAGGGUUACCGAAACUGGGAUAAAACCCGGGAACCAGUUGUAAACGGCGUGUAAACUGCGUGUAAACAGCGUGAAUGGAUAUGUUACCAGCUACUCAGGAGCUACAUCAACUUUGACUCUGUCUACUUGGCUUUACUAUUGUUCCAAAACCUGUGGAGUCUUGAGGAAUCCUUCCAGAACUGCAGAGACUCUGAAUUGGUUUGCCUUUAAGCCAAUCCAAUCCUUUUAGGACUGCAGAGAAUUAUAUCAUUUUGUUUGAUUUUGUUUGAUUUAUAAUACUGAGUUACUUUUGAGUUAUAUACCUCAGGACUGAGUAUUGUUUCUGUGAAUGUUAUAUGUAUAUGAUGCUCCAAUAUACAUAUUGUGUACUACUUAUGUGUUGAACCACUAUUGUGUUAUACAGUUCAUUACAUUGUUUAGAAUAGACAGCUGUGUUUACUUAAUACUAUUGUGGAUUAUCUGCCUUGAUAUUUUGGGUUAUAUGGCUUUAUGGAAGGGCUCUAAGUCUCCUUCUAUGAUGCUUUAUAUCCCAGGAUCUGAUCCCAGAUUAUCUGCUUUGAACUGGAUUAUAUGAGUCUACACUGCCAGAUAAUCUGGUAUGAGCAUCAGAUAAUCUGGGAUCAGAUCCUGGGAUAUAGGGCAGUGUAGAAGGGACCUUAGCGACAGCUUCUUCUUUUUAACUUCUCUUUCCUUCUCCUCCUCCUGUACUUUGGCAUUCUUUUCUGUUUUUUUGAAAACUCCAGAUGUUGUUAAAGUGUCCUUAGGGGAUGUGUGUGGGAGUUUUUUCUUUGUGAACUGCCUAAGCGUAUUAACAAAGGUGGGUUCAUAUGAGCAUGAACACCUGCCAGUUGUUGAAUUCAAGGAGGUACAGCUGGCGCUGCUCAGGAGAAGAGAUCAUUGAAGCAUAAAAAGGAGCUUACUGGGGGCAUUUGUUUUCUUUUCUUUCUUCUGUAACUUUGCGCACCACAUCAGAGUCAUGUUUUCAUCUUGGCUCAUAUCCCCACCCCCAACACUUUUCUGCUAAAGAUGCUUUAGUAUAUAUAUUUUUAAUGUUGGCAAGAUGACCUGGCCCAAGACGUUUUGCUGCUCGAAGCACAGAAAAUGAAUCCCCCAUCAUAUCCAAAUCACACACUCAUUUGGGACAAGGUAUACAAUAUCCACAGCAAAUCCUGUUCUUGUUGCAACUUGGCCCAUCUUCCCAUUCACCUACAAUCGUAAGAUAUUGGCUGGCAGGCUGUUGGUGACAAAUGAAGCAGUAAGUCCGACAUACAUGAUGUCGAACAUGCAAGCCCCCACACUCACAUUGCUCUGACACACAGCUGAUCUCUGCCAGGAGUUCCACAGGCCCAUAGGAACCUUGGUUUUUCCCUUUUUAAAGAGACUUCAGCCUCACCGAUACAUUGUUUCCUUUCUUACGGUAGCAAAACCUCAGGCAGUCUCUCUCCAUUGAGACUCCAUUGUCUCUCAUUAGACAUUAACGCAGAAUAAUAAAUUGUAUCCGAUUCGCUUUCACUUCCUCGCCUGCAAAAGCAGCCCUUCUGCAGGCAGCUCUCUAUAACCAAAAAAUCCAUAAGGGACCCCUUUCCGAGCCGCUGAUCCCAGGACCACCUCAGGAGCAAGGAAAUAUAGUUCUUUCAAUCGCAGAUACUGAAACCCAUCAAGCCCUGGUAUCCACGACUUAACGGAUUCCCUCCUGACCAAUUUCAUUUUACCCCGGACCAUUUUCUAAACUAAACUGCCAUCUCAGUUUUUGCCGCAGUGGCCCUGAUUCACCUCCACACACAUUUUUUUUAUGAAUGAGUUUUGCCUUUUUAUGAAUGAGCAUAGGCAACGUGAGCUAAAAUGUUUUUUCUAUUUUUUUAUGAACUUUUGGGUAUCAGGGACCCCUUUUCUCCUCUCCUGCAUGAAACUCCAUGUAUUCCUUGCACCUUCUCCUAGUCUUAGAGUAAACCCCAGUAAGCCCUCUUGCCUGCCUGGGCUGAUGGGGAACCUCUGGGAUCCCCCCUUUUUCCCCUAUGGAAAAUGCAAAAGGAGAUCAAAGCCCUUUUAAACGCCCAUAGGACUGACUGUGUUUGUUUCCCCAACCCAUGGGAUUCUGGAUCUCAUGAUUCUCCCCACAAGUGGGUCCCAUAUGUGUCUCCUAUCAUUUUUAUUAUUUUUAUUAUUAUUUAAUCUUUAUUACUUCCUAUUAUAUCUUAAUCCUUAUGAAUGAGGCAUUGUGACCCUGACAUGAACUCUGACUAGCACACUCCAGCCAGACACCAUCAGGAUGCCUAAGGCUAUGGAUUACUAAUAUGGGUUACCAGAAAUCACCCUCUGAAGAAGAAACAAUGGACUUCCUUUCUGGAUCUUGGAGGCACAGAUUCCAGGACAUCAAGGAAGGAAGGAACCUUUGGACAUUCUAAAUCACUCAUCAUAAAAGACAUUCUCCUGCUAAGGAGACAAGAAGUCAACAGUGAUCAGCCACCUCCUUCCUUGGACUCUGAAUCAUACAUAAUCCCAUCAAGAUCUCCGCUGCUUCUGCUCUUUUCACAAUGGACUGGUAUGCAUGUGUUAGAAUCUCAUCCAUGAGAAAUGUUAAAUAAAUCAAUGAAUCCAUAGCCAGGUCCAGUUGGAGAGCCCAAAGGCUUUUGCCAGAUCACUUGAACAAAGGACUAGCCAUAGAGUCACUCAUAAUCCCAUCAUCAACAUAAGUUUGCCUUUGUUUUUCCUGUUGCUAUGCCUCCAUCUCCCCCAUUGGCUGCUGAGGAAAUGAUGUCACAAGCGGGGCUCUCGCUCCCAUUGGAUGAGACGCGCGGGCCUCCCAGAUCAUCCCUCCUGCCUCCUGACAUCAAGGGCUCCCCUGACCAAUCAGCAAGGAGUCAGCUUGGUGGGCGGGAGCUGGAAAUUCAAAAGGAAAAAGUAUAAAAUGUGUAUUUUUCUAUGUAAUGGCAUGCCGGUUCUUCUUGCAACUUAUUGCUGCCGUCAUCCUGCUCCAGCUGGACAGAAUAAAAUGUCUGUGAUCUCUGC